GUGAGGAAUAUUGGACAAUGGGCGCAAGCCUGAUCCAGCCAUGCCGCGUGCAGGAAGACGCAUCUAUGGUGUGUAAACUGCUUUUGUACGGGAAGAAACACUCCCUCGUGAGGGAGCUUGACGGUACCGUAAGAAUAAGGAUCGGCUAACUCCGUGCCAGCAGCCGCGGUAAUACGGAGGAUCCAAGCGUUAUCCGGAAUCAUUGGGUUUAAAGGGUCCGUAGGCGGUUUAAUAAGUCAGUGGUGAAAGCCCAUCGCUCAACGAUGGAACGGCCAUUGAUACUGUUAGACUUGAAUUACAAGGAAGUAACUAGAAUAUGUAGUGUAGCGGUGAAAUGCUUAGAUAUUACAUGGAAUACCAAUUGCGAAGACAGGUUACUACUUGUGGAUUGACGCUGAUGGACGAAAGCGUGGGGAGCGAACAGGAUUAGAAACCCCUGUAGUCC
rnacentral:rRNA from 1 species